AUUGAACGCUGGCGGCAUGCUUUACACAUGCAAGUCGAACGGUAACAGGCCUUCGGGUGCUGACGAGUGGCGAACGGGUGAGUAAUGCAUCGGAACGUGCCCAAUCGUGGGGGAUAACGUAGCGAAAGUUACGCUAAUACCGCAUAAGCCCUGAGGGGGAAAGCAGGGGAUCGCAAGACCUUGCGCGAAUGGAGCGGCCGAUGUCAGAUUAGCUAGUUGGUGGGGUAAAGGCUCACCAAGGCGACGAUCUGUAGCGGGUCUGAGAGGAUGAUCCGCCACACUGGGACUGAGACACGGCCCAGACUCCUACGGAGGCAGCAGUGGGGAAUUUUGGACAAUGGGCGCAAGCCUGAUCCAGCCAUGCCGCGUGAGUGAAGAAGGCCUCGG
rnacentral:rRNA from 1 species